rnacentral:rRNA from 1 species
AGAUUGAACGCUGGCGGCAGGCCUAACACAUGCAAGUCGAGCGGUAGAGAGGUGCUUGCACCUCUUGAGAGCGGCGGACGGGUGAGUAAUGCCUAGGAAUCUGCCUAGUGGUGGGGAUAACGUUCGGAAACGGACGCUAAUACCGCAUACGUCCUACGGGAGAAAGCGGGGGACCUUCGGGCCUCGCGCCAUUAGAUGAGCCUAGGUCGGAUUAGCUAGUUGGUGAGGUAAUGGCUCACCAAGGCGACGAUCCGUAACUGGUCUGAGAGGAUGAUCAGUCACACUGGAACUGAGACACGGCCCAGACUCCUACGGAGCAGCAGUGGGAAUUUGGACAAGUGGGGAAACCCUGAU